UGAAAUGCGAUAAGUAAUGUGAAUUGCAGAAUCUCGUGAAUCAUUGAAUCUUUGAACGCACAUUGCGCCCUAUGGUAUUCCAUAGGGCAUACCUGUUUGAGCGUUAGCUCCCCACCCUUCUCAAGCAUUAUUUUAUAAUGUUUGGAUUUAUUUGGAGAGGCACCUCUGUCAUGGAGGUACCCUUCAGAAAUGAAUAUGGCAGUAUAGUUUAUAUCUAAACUAGGCGUAAUAAUAAUAAUAAAGUCGCUGGGUUUUAUCAUAUUUAUACUAGCCUGAACCCACCCAUUAAUAAAUCGGGUAACCUCAAAUCAGGUAGGGAUACCCCCUGAACUUAAGCAUAUCAAUAACCGGAGGAAAAGAAACCAACAGGGAUUGCCCUAGUAACGGCGAGUGAAGCGGCAAAAGCUCACAUUUGGAAUCUGGCGCCAUUGUGGCGUCCGAGUUGUAGUCUGAAGAGGGGAAUUCAAGUGUAGCUUUGGCUUAAGUUCCUUGGAACAGGACGUCAUAGAGGGUGAGAACCCCGUUAAUGGCCUUUGUCUUAUGCUUAUGUGAAUCUCCUUCAAUGAGUC
rnacentral:rRNA from 1 species